rnacentral:rRNA from 1 species
AUAAAAGCUUACCAAGCCGACGAUCUGUAGCUGGUCUGAGAGGACGACCAGCCACACUGGGACUGAGACACGGCCCAGACUCCUACGGGAGGCAGCAGUGGGGAAUUUUGGACAAUGGGCGAAAGCCUGAUCCAGCCAUGCCGCGUGCAGGAUGAAGGCCUUCGGGUUGUAAACUGCUUUUGUACGGAACGAAAAGACUCUGGUUAAUACCUGGGGUUCAUGACGGUACCGUAAGAAUAAGCACCGGCUAACUACGUGCCAGCAGCCGCGGUAAU